AGGGCAUCCUUUUAUUGAAACUUCUUAGUAUCUCAGUGUAGACUUCACCAACCAAGAUCAGUGUGAUUCAUUUACCCAUGCUGCAAGUAUGAUGCUUUAAAAGCAAGUAAAGAAUCUACUGUUUAUGGUCUUUACUGCAAACAUUUCAGGAUCUUGUACUCCGGCAUGUUACAUCCUCUAGGAACACCCACUUCUGAUUUACUGGACUCAAAAUGAGACAGUUUAUCUUAAAGGGAAAAUAAAAAUAAUAGUAAUAAAAAAGCAAAGUGCAGAGGCCAGAGAAACAAUUUACCCAGUUGAAUUAUGGACAUUUACUUCUCCAUUCUGACAAAGGAUGAAGUAUCCAACAUAUUGAUUGUACUGUCACUAUAGGAGACUUCCCUGUCAGGUUAAAAGCACAGCAGGGUCUUAAACUCUUUGGAGAUUCAAUAUUAGGAAUCAAAAGUACUGAAGACACGACCCCUGGCUCAAAUGGAAGCUGAUCAGUGUUGCAGCACAGCGUUCCCAUGAAUAGCUGGCUGUAGGUGUGCCUUACCUUCACUCAUGCAAACAACUGGAAGGUCUCCCAGAGCACAAUAUUAGCACAGGGCAAAAACAAAAAAAACCAAAAACAAAACAAAACCUAAUUAAAGAGUUUAUGGAAGGUGAAAACAGAGGGUGAGCACAGUGCAGGGACACAUUUCUCUUUCAUGCAGGCCACACAGUGUUCACACUCAGCAUCUCACCCAGACUUACAGCCUUAUCCAGAUUUCAGAGGGAAGACUGAACACCAAAGCUCUGUUAUUGCUACAGCUCUGAUGGAUGUGUUACAGUAUGUCACCAGCAGCCUGACAGUCCUGUUCCCUACAGGCAUCCCAUCUUCCAGCACCCAAAGGGUGAAAGGCAGCUGCCAUUCGCCCCAACAGCAGCUGGAGAAGCCACAGCAAAAGAGUGUGUAAAGACACUGUGUGAAGAGUGUCAAAAGUGAAAGCCUCAGGGGCGAAGAGGGAAAGAAAUGACGUCACUGUAAUGGAAGCCUUUUCUACUUGUCUGUCUGUCUGUCAGCAACGACUUCUGAAUCAAUAAAUACCAGUCAGAAUGCACAAUUCCUGCUGACCUGCAGUCCCCCCUUCAUCUCUGGAGAAAAUAAACACGGGUUGUGGGUGCUGAGCAGCUCUGCCUUCUUCAGAGCUUCCAUUGUAUUUGUGUUUGUGGUGUUUCAGCCAGCAGCACCAGGCAGCGUUCAUUUGGUAGUCCCAGGAACUUGGAGGAAUUCCCCGGUUAUUAUGAGAUUAUCCCUUCACUGCAAAAUAAACGAUUCUUCACCAAUUCCAUCUCAGGGGUGUUCUCUCACAGAUGUCUGGGAGUCAGGAGGGGUCAGGACAGGAGGGACUUGACUCG
ensembl:lncRNA